rnacentral:lncRNA from 1 species
ACUGUAUAGUGAGAAAUUCUGCCAUUUUUAUCCUGUAAACAUUUAUUAAGAUAUAUAAUUUGUGAGGAAUUAAACAAAGCUCUAUAAAAAAAUUUUAGAGAUAGUGCAAGAAACAAAGUAGGAAAAAUCCAGGGCCUUCUUGGCUUUGUCAAGUAUUAGCUCUAUGCCCACAAGCAAAGUUAUAUAAGUUGCCAGAGUCUUGGCUUCCCCUUUAAAACUUGGGGAUAAAAAUCCCUACUUCAAAAUCAUGUCUGGCAUAGAGUAGAUACUUAAUAAAAGCUGGUUUUCUUUCUUUCUUCCUGCUUCCCCAUAUAGCAUGUGUACAGCAUAAUUGUAAUCAGGGAAC